rnacentral:misc_RNA from 1 species
AACGCACGAGACCUGCGGACCUGCGGAGGGAUCAUUAGUGAACGCCCUCACGGGCUUAUAACUAUUCCAAACCUCUGUGAGCCGUGCCCUUCGGGGCUAUUUUACAAACAUGGUGUAAUGAACGUCAUAUAUCAUAACAAAACAAAACUUUUAACAAUGGAUCUCU